rnacentral:rRNA from 1 species
GUUGUCGUGUCAACGGCACCGCCGGGUAGCUAAGCACGGACUAGAUAAGCGCUGAAAGCAUCUAAGCGCCAAGCUAUUCCCAAGAUAAGAUCUCCUUUGGUCUUCGGACCAUGAAGGAACCUGGAAGACUACCAGGUCGAUAGGUCGGAUGUGUAAGCGUGGUAACACGUUNAGCUAACCGAUACUAAUGAUCCGA